UCCCCUGUAGCUCAGUUGGUAGAGCAGCGGACUGUUAAUCCGCGUGUCCCUGGUUCGAGCCCAGGCGGGGGAG
rnacentral:tRNA from 1 species